UUGCUGAUGCAAUGAUGAGCUUCGUGGACGGAUUUCACUUUGAUUGUGAUUAAGCACAGCUUUAGGAAGUUGAGGCAGCACCAUUUGAUUGUAAUUUGCAUUCUGUAAUUGAAAAAUUAAUAAUUAAAGAGAGAAAUUUGUGAAACCUGCCUGCACUGGAGUACUGGCUUUUUCUGGAAGUGUAUUCUCCAGUGGAAUUAAAGACUGUGGAGUGGGUAGAGUAACACCGGCGAAGAAUUCAUUUUGCUGAAAAAUAGCCAUGUGCCUCGCCAAGAGAUCGCCUAAAGUUCUUCUAAUCAGGUUUGGGAAGAUUUGAACCAGAGGAGACGAAAGAACCGGAAAGGAAUGAUCGAGAUCAAAAGGAUCACUGAAAUUAAUAAGCAAGUUACUCUUUUUUUUAAACUAAUUAUUCUCAUAAAUUAUUUAUCUAAUAAUAGUAAAUUU